CCUAGUUGAUCUUGCCAGUAGUCAUAUGCUUGUCUCAAAGAUUAAGCCACGCAUGUGUAAGUAUAAACUAAUUCAGACUGUGAAAUUAUGAAUGGGUCAUUAAAUCAGUUUAGUUUGUUUGAUGGUACCUGCUACUCGUACGAACACACCACCCCUACUGGGUUAUAGCCACUGACAUGGAAAAAAAUAUUUUUAUGGAUGCAAGCAAAGCCAAAAAGUACGGAAUUAUUUCUAGAACUAAUACAUGCAACAAACCCCUACUUCUAGAAGGGAUGCAUUUAUUAGAUAAAAGGUCAAUGUGGGGUUUGCCUGUUGCUCUGAUUAUUCAUGAUAAUGCGACGAAUCGCAAAACCCUUGUGUCAAUGACCAUCAUUCAAAAUUUUGCCGUAUCUCUUUUGAUGGUAGGAUAGUGGCCUACUAUGGUGGUAAUGGAUGGCGGAGAAUUAGGGUUCCAUUCUGGAGAAGGAGCUUGAGAAAUGGCUACCACAUCUAAGGAAGGCAGCAGGAGUGCAAAUUACCCAAUCCUGACACGUGGAAGUAGUGGCAAUAAAUAACAAUAUCGGGCUCUAUGAGUAUGGUAAUUGGAUUGAGUACAAUCUAAAUCCCUUAAUGAAGAUCCAUUGGAGGGUAAGUCCAGUGUCGGCAGGUAUGGUAAUUCUAGCUCCAAUAGCGUAUAUUUAAGUUGUUGCAAUUAAAAAGCUCGUAGUUGGACAUUGGAUUGGGCUGGCCUAUCUGCCCUUGGACGAGUAUUGAUCGUUUCAUCCUUUCUACCGGUGAUGCACCUCUAGUCUUAAUUGAUCGGGUCGUGUCUCCAGUACUGUUACUUUGAAGAAAUUAGAGUGCUCAAAGCAAGCCCAAGGUCUAGAUGCGUUAGCAUGGGAUAACAUCAUAGAAUUCUGGUCCUAUUGCUUUGGCCUUCGAGAUCAAAGUAAUAAUUAACAGGGACAGUUGGAGACAAUUGUAUUUCAUAGUCAGAUAUAUUCUUGGAUUUAUGAAAGAAGAAAUACUGCGAAAGAAUUUGCCAUGGAUGUUUUCAUUAAUCAAGAAUGAAAAAUGAAAGUUGAGGGCUCAAAAACAAUCAAAUAUUGUCCUAGUCUCAACCAUAAAUGAUGUCGUCUAGGGAUUGACGACUCUUGCUUAUAGGACUCCGCAGACACCUUAUGAGAAAUAAAAGUUUUUUGGUUCCUUGGCAAGUAUGACCGCAAAUCUGAAACUUAAAGGAAUUGAUGGAAGGGCAUGCCAUGGAAACUUACAAGGUCUAAACAUAGUAAGAAUUGAUAGACUGAUAGCUCUUUCUUGAUUCUAUGGGUGGUGGUGCAUGGCCGUUCUUAGUUGGUGGAGCGGUUUUCCUGGUUAAUUCCAUUAAUGAAUGAGACCUCAGGCUCCUAACGAGCUAUGUGGUGGUGACCCUCAUGGCUAGCUUCUUAGAGGGACUAUGAUUGUUUAGGCCACAAAAGUUUGAGGCAAUAGUAGGUAUGUGAUGCUCUUAGAUGUUUUUGGCAGCACGUGCGCUAUACUGAUGUAUUCAACAAGUCUAUAACCUUGGUCGACAGGCAAGGGUAAUCUUUGAAAAUUUCAUCUUGGGAUAGAUCAUUGCAAUUGGUUGUCUUCAACGAGGAAUUUCAUCAGCUUGCUUUGACUAUGUCCCUACCCUUUGUACACACCGUCCGUUACUCUUACUGAUUGAAUGGUCCGGUGAAGUGUUUGAAUCGCGCUGAUGUGGUGGACUGCCACUGGCGAUGUUGCAAGAAGUCCACUGAACCUUAUCAUUUAAAGGAAGGAGAAGUCAUAACAAGGUUUCCUAAUAUAAACCUACGGAAG
rnacentral:rRNA from 1 species